GAUGAAGAACGUAGUGAAAUGCGAUACGUAAUGUGAAUUGCAGAAUUCAGUGAAUCAUCGAGUCUUUGAACGCACAUUGCGCCCCCUGGUAUUCCGGGGGGCAUGCCUGUCCGAGCGUCAUUGCUGCCCUCAAGCACGGCUUGUGUGUUGGGCCUCCGUCCUCCUCCCGGGGGACGGGCCCGAAAGGCAGCGGCGGCACCGUGUCCGGUCCUCGAGCGUAUGGGGCUUCGUCACCCGCUCUUGUAGGCCCGGCCGGCGCUUGCCGACACAUCAAUCUUUUUUCCAGGUUGACCUCGGAUCAGGUAGGGAUACCCGCUGAACUUAAGCAUAUCAAUAAGCGGAGGA
rnacentral:misc_RNA from 1 species